rnacentral:rRNA from 1 species
CCUACGGGUGGCAGCAGUGAGGAAUAUUGGUCAAUGGACGGAAGUCUGAACCAGCCAUGCCGCGUGCAGGAAGACGGCUCUAUGAGUUGUAAACUGCUUUUGUACAAGGGUAAACCUGAAUACGUGUAUUCAGCUGAAAGUACUGUACGAAUAAGGAUCGGCUAACUCCGUGCCAGCAGCCGCGGUAAUACGGAGGAUCCAAGCGUUAUCCGGAUUUAUUGGGUUUAAAGGGUUCGCAGGCGGAUUGAUAAGUUUGAUGUGAAAUGUCCGGGCUUAAUCGGGGAACUGCAGCUAAUACUGUUGAUCUAGAGAGUAGAUGCGGUAGGCGGAAUGUAUGGUGUAGCGGUGAAAUGCUUAGAGAGCAUACAGAACACCGAUUGCGAAGGCAGCUUACCAAUCUAUAUCUGACGUUGAGGCACGAAAGCGUGGGGAGCAAACAGGAUUAGAUACCCUGGUAGUC